GAGAGAGCGGGACGUCCGGCUUCUCACUGGGAACCCUCGUGCCGUCAGCAACCAAAGAGAGAAUUAACUAUGGGUGAUGUUGAGAAAGGCAAGAAGAUUUUUGUUCAGAAGUGUGCCCAGUGCCACACUGUGGAAAAGGGAGGCAAGCACAAGAUUGGGCCAAAUCUCCAUGGUCUCUUUGGGCGGAAGACAGGUCAGGCUGCUGGAUUCUCUUACACAGACGCCAAUAAGAACAAAGGCAUCACCUGGGGAGAGGAUACACUGAUGGAGUAUUUGGAGAAUCCCAAGAAGUACAUCCCUGGAACAAAAAUGAUCUUCGCCAGCAUUAAGAAGAAGGGAGAAAGGGCAGACUUGAUAGCUUAUCUCAAAAAAGCCACUAAUGAGUAAUAAUUGGCCACUGUCUUAUUUAUUACAAACCGGAAAUAUCAUAACUUUUUUUAUGUGUACCAUAAUUUAAUUGGUCUCAUACAUCAGAAUUCAGAUCAUGAAAGAGUGACAGAAUAUUUUUGUUGGACAGUCCUGAUUUAACUAAGACUGGCUUGUGGUUAAUUCGGUUUUUUGAAUUUUGAUAGUAAUUCCAAUACAGUAAAUGCUAUCACUGUUUUCCCCUUCUGAAGAUA